GCGAACAUCCCAACUUCUAAAUCUAACGUUCCCUUUUCCCCGCGUCGCCCCCGCGUGCGGUGUGAAUCUAACAGCUAUUAAAUCCCGCCAUGGCUAGGAUUUCAAAGAAUUGGCUCCAGAGGUGGAUGAAGAUUUUGGUAUGUGUUUGUAAUGCAAUUUCGAGAGAGUUCUUCAUCGAUGUCGUGAAAGGUUUAAACGUUUUUUAAAGUAUCUUCCAUAAGAAAUAAGCUUGCGUUUGAGUUCAGUCAUUUUCUGCCAGCAACCUCCUUACAGGAGGGAGUAAAACAGAUCAAAUCAUGCAGGUAAAAUAUUGAAAUGGAAGAUAGAUGCGCUAUUUAA